GUAGGAGGCGAGCGUUAUCCGGAUUUACUGGGCGUAAAGCGCGUGCAGGCGGUUUUCUAAGUCGGACGUGAAAGCUCCCGGCUCAACUGGGAGAGGUCGUUCGAAACUAGGAGACUUGAGGGUGGUAGAGGAGAGUGGAAUUCCCGGUGUAGUGGUGAAAUGCGUAGAUAUCGGGAGGAACACCAGUGGCGAAGGCGGCUCUCUGGGCCACUCCUGACGCUAAGACGCGAAAGCUAGGGGAGAAAACGGGAUUAGAAACCCCGGUAUUCCUAGCCGUAAACGAUGUCAACUAGGUGUAGGGGGUAUCCAACCCCCCGUGUGCUGCAGCAAACGCGGUAAGUUGACCGCCUGGGGACUACGGCCGCAAGGCUA
rnacentral:rRNA from 1 species